GACUGCCAGGUCUGGUCCUGCCGGGGCGGCUGCUCGGGCCGCUGGGCGCCGCCACCGCCCUCGCGCUGGGCUCCCUCCCGCGCAGCUGGGACACGUGGAGGUGGGGGUGGGGGUGCUGGUGCUGCUGGCCCGCCUAGAGGGAGUCUGGCCGGCUUCGGGGUUGGAAGCCCCCAGAGCAGUGGAGAAAAACAGGUAGAGAAACCAGACAGGCAGUAGGGUGAGUGGAACAGACACUUCAUCAAUUCAUUUGUACAAUACCUAGAACAACUAGACCCUGGAGACACAGCCUGGACCACUCCAGACAAGACAAUAAAUAAACAAGCAAACAUGGUUCUUUGGGGGUGGUGGUAAGUGCUAGUAAGAGGAAAAAAACAAACUAAAACAAACAAAAAAAAAAAACAAAAAAAAAAGGUCAAGGUGGCAAUGAUGGGGCAGGGAGGAAAGAUGCUUUGCAGAAUGGAGUGGGAACAUGGACCUUUAAUAGGGUGACUUUUUCUUUUUUAUAUUUUAGAGACGGGUCUUUGUCCUGUUGCUCAGGUUGGAGCGCAGUGGUGCAAUCAUAGCUAACUGCAGCCUAGACCUUCUGUGCUCAAGCAAGCCUUCCACUUCAACUUCCCAACUAGCUAGAGCUACAGGCAUACACCACUAUGCCUGGCUAAUUUUGUUUAUUUUUGUAGAGAUGGGGUCUGCUAUGUUGCCCUGGCUGGUCUGGAACUGCUGGGUCAAACAGUCCUCCCGCCUUGGCCUUUCAAAGCACUGGGAUUCCAGGCGUGAGCCAGUGCUCUUCUCCUGCAGUGACUUUUUUUUUUUUUUUUUAGACAGAUUCUUGCUCUGUCACCCAGACUUGAGUGCAGUGGUGCGAUCUUGGUUCACUGCAACCUCUGCCUUUCGGGUUCAAGCGAUUUUCCUGCCUCAGCCUCCCAAGUAGCUAGGAUUAUAGGUGCCUGCCACCACGCCCUGCUAAUUUUGUAUCUUUAGUAGAGACUGGGUAUCAGCACGUUGGCCAGGCUGGUCUUGAACUCCUGACUUGAGGUCAUCUGCCAGCCUCGGCCUCCAAAAUGCUGGGAUUACAGGCGUGAGCCAUCGUGCCUGGCCAUGACUUUUCAACAGAUUUGAAGAAGUGGGGUCCUGAGAAAAUCCUGGGUAACAACAGCAUCAGAGGUAACAGUUUUUUGUUUGUUUGUUUGUGUUUUUUAGAUGGAGUCUCCCUCUGUCACCCAGGCAGGCUGGAGUGCAGUGGCUCGAUCUCAGUUUACCGCAACCUCCACCCACAGGAUUCAAGCGAUUCUCCUGCUUGGCCUCCCAAGUAGCUGGGUCUACAGGCGUGCAUCACCAUGCCAGGCUAAUUUUUGUAUUUUUAGUAGAAACAGGGUUUCACCAUGUUGGCCAGGCUGGUCUCGAACCCCUGACCUCAGGUGAUCCGCCUGCCUGGGCCUCCCAAAGUGCUGGGAUUACAGGCCUGAGCCACCCCGCUCAACUGGGAGCAGCUUUUUUUUUUUUUUUUUUUGAGACGGAGUCUCGCUCUGUUGCCCAGGCUAGAGUGCAGUGGCACGAUCUCGGCUCACUGCAAGCUCUGCCUCCCGGGUUCACGCCAUUCUCCUGCCUCAGCCUCCCAAGUAGCUGGGACUACAGGCACCUGCCAACAUGCCUGGCUAAUUUUUUGUAUUUUUAGUAGAGAGGGGGUUUCACUGUAUUAGCCAGGAUGGUCUCGAUGUCCUGACCUCGUGAUCCGCCCGUCUCGGCCUCCCAAAGUGCUGGGAUUACAGGCGUGAGCCACUGCGCCCGGCCUUGGGAGCAGCUCUUAAAUGGCAAAAUUCAUGUAGCCAGGUGAGCCUGUGAAAGAACAGCAGGAAGCCAGCCUGUCUGGAAUGGAGUGAACCACAACAGGGCAGAUGUCAAGGGAGACUGAGCAGGGGCCUUGGGGAGGAGUGUAGAUUAAAUUCCAAGGGAGAUGAGUGACCCUUAGAGGGUAUUAGGUGGGUACCAGCAUUAAUAGUGGAUCUGUGGAUUAAAUGAGCAUAUUAGCCCUGUUCUGUAGGAGGAAAUUGGGGCAUAGAGUAGCAAAACUACUUUCCUGAACGCACACAAUAUUAAACUGCACCCCUGGGAACCCUGCCUUGCUGCUAAUACCUGCCUUCUAGCCUAACUGCCACCCUCCCACCCCAGGGGCAGACAGGCAACCUUUCCAGCCUGGGGUGGGGCAGAGCUCACAGCAGGGACUCUGCACUCUGCACGUAGCUCAGGCUCUCAUUCUUGGUUCUGCUCUUAAGACUGGGUCCCCACCCUCUUCCCCAUAAGACUACACUGGGCUGGGUUCCUUUCAGCUCGAGGAAGCCGUCUUAGGAACUAGGAACUGGGCCCUACACAGGGGCCUCAGCCCCGAGCUUCACAUAACUUAUCUCCUACAAAUUUUACCACGUGCAUGGUGAUCUGGGUUUGCAGUCCCAUUUUACUGCUGAAGAGACCCAGAGACGAUCACAGCUCUUAAACGGCAUUUGAACCCAGGCUGGCUGGUGACAAAAUGUGGGCUUUGCCUUGCAUGGCCAGAUUUCUGGAUGUAGGGCAUCCUGGGAUUUGCAAGGGACAAACGGCAUACCCUACCCCUCCGAAACCGCCUUGAGCGCAAGCAGGAAAAGAGCAGGCACUAAGCAUGUGAUAAGACCGCCACCGUGUGGCGAAGAUGAGCAACCACAGGGUCAGUUUCCCAAGCCUGAGCCUGAAGAAGGAAGGGGGUUGCAGGGGAGGACGAAAGGACAGAGCACACCAACACAGACUCACACCUUUCCCUAAUACUUUAUUGGUUACCUCUAGGCCUGUGUGCGGCUGGGUGGGCUUGGGGGAGGGCGUCACUAUUCAGCUUCUAGGUGGAGGCAUGAGAAGGCCUUGGCCUAGCCCUCCAGGGUCCCAUACUGUGGAGUUUGGAGGGGCAGGUCUGGCCUUUCCUGGGUCAGCAUAGGGCACCCAGGUGGGGGCACAGGCUAGACGCACGGACGAUCACACGCGUGGACCCGCGUUCUCAGCGCCAAGUGAGCCCUGGGCCGCGAAGCCUUUUAUGCCCGGCCCGAACCAAGAC
rnacentral:lncRNA from 1 species